rnacentral:rRNA from 1 species
ACUCAAAUGAAUAGACGGGGACCCACACAAGCGGUGGAGCAUGGGGUUUAAUUCGAUAGUAAGCGAAGAACCUCACCUAGGCUUGACAUCUCGGGAAUCCGGCAGAAACGUCGGAGUGCCGCAAGGAACCCGAAGACAGGCGCUGCACGGUUGUCGUCAGCUCGUGCCUUGAGGUGUACUGUUAAGUCAGCGAACGAGCGCAACCCUCAUCCUAUGUUGUUUUUUCAUGGGAGACUGCCGCCUCCAAGGCGGAGGAAGGUGGGGAUGACGUCAAAUCAGCGUGGCCCUUAUGCCUAGGGCAACACCCGUGCUACAAUGGCCGGUACAAACCGUCGCGAAUCCGCAAGGAGGAGCCAAUCGGAGAAAGCCGGUCUCAGUUCGGAUUGAAGUCUGCAACUCGACUUCAUGAAGUUGGAAUCGCUAGUAACCGUGAAUCAGCUACGUCACGGUGAAUAUGUUCCUGGGUCUUGCACACACCGCCCGU